rnacentral:rRNA from 1 species
GAUGAACGCUGGCGGCGUGCUUAACACAUGCAAGUCGAGCGAGAAAAGUUCUUCGGAGCUUUUCUAGCGGCGGACGGGUGAGUAACACGUGGGCAACCUGCCUCAUAGAGGGGAAUAGCCUUCCGAAAGGAAGAUUAAUACCGCAUAACAUUGUUGAAAGGCAUCUUUUAACAAUCAAAGGAGCAAUCCGCUAUGAGAUGGGCCCGCGGCGCAUUAGCUAGUUGGUGAGGUAACGGCUCACCAAGGCGACGAUGCGUAGCCGACCUGAGAGGGUGAUCGGCCACAUUGGAACUGAGACACGGUCCAGACUCCUACGGGAGGCAGCAGUGGAGAAUAUUGCACAAUGGGGGAAACCCUGAUGCAGCAACGCCGCGUGAGUGAUGAAGGUCUUCGGAUUGUAAAGCUCUGUCUUUAGGGACGAUAAUGACGGUACCUAAGGAGGAAGCCACGGCUAACUACGUGCCAGCCGCCGCCGUAAAAC